rnacentral:lncRNA from 1 species
CCUGCUUUCCAUGUUGUCAACACAAUCCCCUGCUGUAUGAACCUGCUUUCCAUGUUGUCUACACAAUCCCCAGCUGUGUGGACCUCCUUUCAAUGUUAUCAACACAAUCCCUAGCUGUGUGGACCUGCUUUCCAUGUUGUCAACACAAUCCCCAGCUGUGUGGACCUGCUUUCCAUGUUGUCAACACAAUCCCCAGCUGUAUGGACCUGCUUUCCAUGUUGUCUACACAAUCCCCAGCUGUGUGGACCUGCUUUCCAUGUUGUCAACACAACCCCCAGCUGUGUGGACCUGCUUUCCAUGUUGUCAACACAAUCCCCAGCUGUAUGGACCUGCUUUCCAUGUUGUCAACACAAUCCCCAGCUGUAUGGACCUGCUUUCCAUGUUGUCCCCAAAACAUCGUUGGUACUUUUUCUGUCAUUUUGUUUGGUUGCUUUUAGCGUUGUUGCUUUCUGUCUGUCUGUGUUACUGGUUAUAUGUUGCUCUGUCUGUCUGUGUUACUGGUUAUAUGUUGCUCUGUCUGUCUGUGUGUUACUGGUUAUGUUGCUCUGUCUGUCUGUGUUACUGGUUAUAUGUUGCUCUGUCUGUCUGUGUGUUACUGGUUAUGUUGCUCUGUCUGUCUGUGUUACUGGUUAUAUGUUGCUCUGUCUGUCUGUGUUACUGGUUAUGUUGCUCUGUCUGUCUGUGUUACUGGUUAUAUGUUGCUCUGUCUGUCUGUGUUACUGGUUAUAUGUUGCUCUGUCUGUCUGUGUGAUACUGGUUAUAUGUUGCUCUGUCUGUCUGUGUUACUGGUGAUAUGUUGCUCUGUCUGUCUGUGUUACUGGUUAUAUGUUGCUCUGUCUGUCUGUGUUACUGGUUAUAUGUUGCUCUGUCUGUCUGUGUGUUACUGAAAUGUUGAUAAAUGUGCACUGUACCUUUAAAAAAAUAAACUUAAUUAAAGUAAUAAUAAUAAUGUCUGGAUAAUGUAUAGAAUAUCAAGGUUCAGAGUUUAUAACUGGAUAAUGUAUAGAAUAUCAAGGUUGAGUUUAUAACAGGAUAAUGUAUAGAAUAUCAAGGUCCAGAGUGUAUAACUGGGUAAUGUAUAGAAUAAAGGUUGAGUUUAUAACUGGAUAAUGUAUAUAAUAUCAAGGUUGAGUUUAUAACUGGAUAAUGUAUAGAAUAAAGGUUGAGUUUAUAACUGGGUAAUGUAUAGAAUAUCAAGGUUCAGAGUUUAUAACUGGGUAAUGUAUAGAAUAUCAAGGAUGCGUUUAUAACUGGGUAAUGUAUAGAAUAUCAAGGUUGAGUUUAUAACUGGAUAAUGUAUAGAAUAUCAAGGUUCAGAGUUUAUAACUGGAUAAUGCACAUGUUGAGGUCCAGUGUGAGGAUAACAUAGCAUCAUAUAGAGGACCAGUGUGUGUAUGACUGGAUAAUGUAGCUUCAUAUAGAGGACCAGUGUGUGUAUGACUGGAUAAUGUAGCUUCAUAUAGAGGACCAGUGUGUGUAUGACUGGAUAACAUAGCAUCAUAUAGAGGACCAGUGUGUGUAUGACUGGAUAAUGUAGCUUCAUAUAGAGGACCAGUGUGUGCAUGACUGGAUAAUGUAGCUUCAUAUAGAGGACCAGUGUGUGUAUGACUGGAUAAUGUAGCUUCAUAUAGAGGACCAGUGUGUGUAUGACUGGAUAAUGUAGCUUCAUAUAGAGGACCCGUGUGUGUAUGACUGGAUAAUGUAGCUUCAUAUAGAGGACCAGUGUGUGUAUGACUGGAUAAUGUAGCUUCAUAUAGAGGACCAGUGUGUGCAUGACUGGAUAAUGUAGCUUCAUAUAGAGGACCAGUGUGUGUAUGACUGGAUAAUGUAGCUUCAUAUAGAGGACCAGUGUGUGUAUGACUGGAUAACAUAGCAUCAUAUAGAGGACCAGUGUGUGUAUGACUGGAUAAUGUAGCUUCAUAUAGAGGACCAGUGUGUGUAUGACUGGAUAAUGUAGCUUCAUAUAGAGGACCAGUGUGUUUAUGACUGGAUAAUGUAGCUUCAUAUAGAGGACCCGUGUGUGUAUGACUGGAUAAUGUAGCUUCAUAUAGAGGACCAGUGUGUUUAUGACUGGAUAAUGUAGCUUCAUAUAGAGGACCAGUGUGUGUAUGACUGGAUAAUGUAGCUUCAUAUAGAGGACCAGUGUGUGUAUGACUGGAUAAUGUAGCUUCAUAUAGAGGACCAGUGUGUGUAUGACUGGAUAAUGUAGCUUCAUAUAGAGGACCAGUGUGUUUAUGACUGGAUAAUGUAGCUUCAUAUAGAGGACCCGUGUGUGUAUGACUGGAUAAUGUAGCUUCAUAUAGAGGACCAGUGUGUGUAUGACUGGAUAAUGUAGCUUCAUAUAGAGGACCCGUGUGUGUAUGACUGGAUAAUGUAGCUUCAUAUAGAGGACCAGUGUGUGUAUG